rnacentral:lncRNA from 1 species
UCGAUCCUGCAGUUGAUCUCUUGAAACUUUGGGUCUAUGUUAGCAUCAUGGACCGUGUGGGUCUUUGCAUGAUGAGUAGGCGAUCUCCCUAGGGUGGAGCCUUUUCCAAAGUGGGGAGUACGUGAAUGCCUCUCACUUUCAGGGCUUCAGGGCUGACUCAAUUUGGUUUGUCUUCCUCGAUCAGGGCUUUACAGUGGAGAUCGAGGAGGAUGUUGUGGGGGUGCCACCUAUGUCGGACCUUACUGCCACAUGGUGUUAACUACUAUUGUUAAUGCCCACACCUGAUCGACCAGCAUGGCAAACUGGUCUUGACUCACUCCAGGAGCCGACUGUGGUAGUUGUGGUCAUGGCAUUGGCUAGGAUGCCAAUGCAUGAUGCUUGUUUAGAUUUUCAACCAUGUGGAGAGUGGU